rnacentral:rRNA from 1 species
ACUGAACGCUGGCGGCAGGCUUAACACAUGCAAGUCGAGCGGGGGAAGGUAGCUUGCUACCGGACCUAGCGGCGGACGGGUGAGUAAUGCUUAGGAAUCUGCCUAUUAGUGGGGGACAACAUCUCGAAAGGGAUGCUAAUACCGCAUACGUCCUACGGGAGAAAGCAGGGGAUCUUCGGACCUUGCGCUAAUAGAUGAGCCUAAGUCGGAUUAGCUAGUUGGUGGGGUAAAGGCCUACCAAGGCGACGAACUGUAGCGGGUCUGAAAGGAUGCGCCGCCAGACUGGGACGAGGACACGGCCCAGACUCCUACGGGAGGCAGCGGUGGGGAAUAUUGGACAAUGGGGGGAACCCUGAUCCAGCCAUGCCGCGUGUGUGAAGAAGGCAUUAUGGUUGUAAAGCUCUUUAAGCGAGGAGGAUGCUACUUUAGUCACUACCUGGAGAUAGUGGACGUUACUCGCAGAAUAAGCACCGGCUAACUCUGUGCCAGCCGCCGCCGUAA